rnacentral:rRNA from 1 species
UACGGGGGGGGCAAGCGUUGUUCGGAAUUACUGGGCGUAAAGGGCUCGUAGGUGGCCAACUAAGUCAGACGUGAAAUCCCUCGGCUUAACCGGGGAACUGCGUCUGAUACUGGAUGGCUAGAGUUUGGGAGAGGGAUGCGGAAUUCCCAGUGUAGCGGUGAAAUGCGUAGAUAUUGGGAGGAACACCAGUGGCGAAGGCGCUACCUGGACCGGUUCUGACGCUGAGGCGCGAAAGCGUGGGUAGCAAACAGG